UGCCUGGUGGUCCAAUACCUGGGACUCUGCACUCCCAAUGCAGAGGGCCCUGGUUCGAUCCCUGGUCAGGCAA
rnacentral:tRNA from 1 species